GACGAACGCUGGCGGCGUGCUUAACACAUGCAAGUCGAACGGAAAGGCCCUGCUUUUGUGGGGUGCUCGAGUGGCGAACGGGUGAGUAACACGUGAGUAACCUGCCCUUGACUUUGGGAUAACUUCAGGAAACUGGGGCUAAUACCGGAUAGGAGCUCCUGCUGCAUGGUGGGGGUUGGAAAGUUUCGGCGGUUGGGGAUGGACUCGCGGCUUAUCAGCUUGUUGGUGGGGUAGUGGCUUACCAAGGCUUUGACGGGUAGCCGGCCUGAGAGGGUGACCGGCCACAUUGGGACUGAGGUACGGCCCAGACUCCUACGGGAGGCAGCAGUGGGGAAUAUUGCACAAUGGGCGGAAGCCUGAUGCAGCAACGCCGCGUGCGGGAUGACGGCCUUCGGGUUGUAAACCGCUUUCGCCUGUGACGAAGCGUGAGUGACGGUAAUGGGUAAAGAAGCACCGGCUAACUACGUGC
rnacentral:rRNA from 1 species